CCCGCCGUCGUCCCCGGCUUUGCUUGUGUUGCCACUCAACAUCCACGUCCUGGUUCAGGAAUAUUAACCUGAUUCCCUGUCGAUAGAAGGGGCGCCGAAACGCCCACCUUGCAACGGAUUUCUCCUAUCUCUUAGGAUCGACUAACCCACGUCCAAUUGCUGUUCACGUGGAACCUUUCUCCACUUCAGUCUUCAAAGUUCUCAUUUGAAUGUUUGCUACUACCACCAAGAUCUGCACCAAAGGCCGUUCCACUCUGGCUCACGCCACGAGCUGCACAACAACCUUCGCGCCCUCCUACUCACCAACGCUAAACACUUGCGCUGGUGGUGGAGUAUAAGUGACCCGCUUCAGCGCCAUCCAUUUUCAGGGCUAGUUCAUUCGGCAGGUGAGUUGUUACACACUCCUUAGCGGAUUCCGACUUCCAUGGCCACCGUCCUGCUGUCAGUAUGAACCAACACCUUUUGUGGGAUCUAGGUGAGCGGGUACUUUGGCACUUUAUCUCCACGUUCGGAUCAUCCCGCAUCGCCAAACCAGCUUACCCGGUGUGGCCCACUAGCAACCGUCAUUCGACCGCAGGGUUCAAUUAAGCAACCCCGAGUUCCUACCCAUUUAAAGUUUGAGAAUAGGCCGAGAGAAUUACUCUCCCGGAACCUCUAAUCAUUCGCUUUACCUGAUAGAAUUGAGAUUCGAUUGCAGCUAUCCUGAGGGAAAUUUCGGAGGGAACCAGCUACUAGAUAGUUCGAUUAGUCUUUCGCCCCUAUACUCAAAUUUGAAGAUCGAUUUGCACGUCAGAAUCCCUACGAGCCUCCACCAGAGUUUCCCCUGGCUUCACCCUAUUCAAGCAUAGUUCACCAUCUUUCGGGUCCCAACAUGUAUGCUCACACUCAGACCGUUCUCCCGAGGGAUUGAGGCCGGCGGAUUGUGCAAUAUAUUCCAACCACUGUCACUUUCAUUGCGCACGGAGGUUUGCCACCUCUGUACUCGCACAUAUGUUAGACUCCUUGGUCCGUGUUACAAGACGGGGUAAAGAAAACCAUUUCGUGGCACUCAGUCCAGACCAACGCUAGCAACGCAAGUCAACUCCUUGCGCGCCCUUCCGAGAGUCCGAACCAAGCAUCACUACAGCAAGCCACAGUGCCCAAGCCGCAAGCGGCCAGGGAAGUAUGACAGAGCAGACACUGGUUUCCUUCGCUUCCCUUUCAGCAAUUUCAGGUACUCUUUAACUCUCUUUUCAAAGUUCUUUGCAUCUUUCCCUCACGGUACUUGUACGCUAUCGGUCUCCCACCAAUAUUUAGCUUUAGAUGGAAUUUACCACCCACUUUGAGCUGCAAUCCCAAACAACUCGACUCGUCGACUGGUAACUCAUCCUGCCAGGCAUACGGGAGUGUCACCCUCUCAGCUGCCGUGUUCCAACGGACUUGGCCCGGCUGGUAAUGUCACCGUCUUUAGACCACAAUUCGGUGCAGUUUAUGUGUUCACACAUGUGUUUUGCACAGAUUCACAUCUUGAGCUCUUCCCGCUUCAGUCGCCCUUACUAGGGGAAUCCUGGUUAGUUUCUUUUCCUCCGCUUAUUAAUAUGCUUAAAUUCGGCGGGUCCUCUUGCUUGAGCUGAGAUCCGGAAGUAUGUACUGCAAAGCAGGGUGUGCGUGUCGCAAUAAAUACAAACAACGCUCACUCUCCGUUGGAGCAGAUCGAGCCAUCGCCCGUGCGCAAUGAUGGUCCAGCACGUACUACCAAGCAACCAUGACAACACCAAGUACAUGAACGCUGUUACGCAUCCUCGUUAC
rnacentral:rRNA from 1 species